GAUGAACGCUGGCGGCGUGCCUAAUACAUGCAAGUCGAGCGAACGGACGAGAAGCUUGCUUCUCUGAUGUUAGCGGCGGACGGGUGAGUAACACGUGGAUAACCUACCUAUAAGACUGGGAUAACUUCGGGAAACCGGAGCUAAUACCGGAUAAUAUUUUGAACCGCAUGGUUCAAAAGUGAAAGACGGUCUUGCUGUCACUUAUAGAUGGAUCCGCGCUGCAUUAGCUAGUCGGUAAGGUAACGGCUUACCAAGGCAACGAUGCAUAGCCGACCUGAGAGGGUGAUCGGCCACACUGGAACUGAGACACGGUCCAGACUCCUACGGGAGGCAGCAGUAGGGAAUCUUCCGCAAUGGGCGAAAGCCUGACGGAGCAACGCCGCGUGAGUGAUGAAGGUCUUCGGAUCGUAAAACUCUGUUAUUAGGGAAGAACAUAUGUGUAAGUAACUGUGCACAUCUUGACGGUACCUAAUCAGAAAGCCACGGCUAACUACGCG
rnacentral:rRNA from 1 species